GCGAUAGAAAGAGAGUAGCGGGGCUAGGGUUUCAAAAGAAAAGAGGGAAAAUCAGAGAGGGGAGAGAGAGAUCAAAUUGAUUGGGGCAAGGGUUGUUUGUAUAGACAUAUAAUCGUGUGUAUGGUGUUUGCUUGAGUUAUAUGUUAAUUGAUGUUGGUUGAGUUUGGUCUCGCGCGGCUUGAGUCGCCGGAGACGGGGUAGCGAUGGAGGAUUGCGUCUCCGGUGGUCGUGAUUUUAAAUAAUAGAGUGACGCCGACGAGUAGUGGCGGGCUGUGAUUUUAAUCCUAUGGUGGUUGUACAACAGGGGUCAGCGGCGGGGUCGGUUGUGACUAUGUCGCCGUAGCAGUUUGAAGGGGAUGGCUGUUGAGAGUCGAAACUACAGAGAUUGCUUUGAGUUGUGGGUUUUGAAAAGAAGGCCUAAUGGAGUUAACGAUGAGGUGGGUUGAAAAGUUGUGGCUCGAGAUAUUCUACACAGCUUCUGCCAAGGUUUUGCACAGGGCUGAUCGAGACGUGUAAUUUCAAUGGCUUUUAAAUGUUAUUGAAAAGUGUUGCAAGUCGAAUUAAAAAUAACUGACAAAACAAUGUUGUGCUAUGGAAGCUCGAUGAAAGUUGUCAAGCAGAAGGAAACAGUUGUGCAAUAGAUAGUACUAUUGAAAAUCUGAGUGAGGAGCAGGAGUUAAGGCAAGUACUUCUAUUCCCAACUUAUAAUUAUUGCAAGUAUUUCUAUCUAUCUUUCUCUUGCAGUUAACAAGUAUUUCUAUUCUCAACUUGUAAUUACUGCAAGUAAUUCUAUUCUGCAUUUAUAUUGAAAGGGCAAUCAUUGCUAUCUUUCGCGUGUGAUUAAAGAUAAGUUAAAUAUCUCUACUGUUAUAUCGACAGUUGACAACAUUGCUAGAAAUAUAUCAUGUUCUUUAAAGCUGAGAUAGCUACUUGGUUACAUUGAGUUACAUGGUGGUGAUUUGAAAUAAGAAAGGAAGAGUUUUAGAAUAUAUCUAUAGUUGUAAAAGAAAUAAAUACAUAUUGUGAGGGGCUAGUGAAUAGCCGGGGGCUAGUGAAUAGCCGGGGCUAGUGAAUAGCCAAUCAGAAAGGCCAGCAAGAUGCCUAUUGUGUACACAAAUUAUUGUCACCGGGAGGACUUUAAGUCCGGGGCCCGGGGCACCAAUAAUUGUCACCGGGAGGACUUUAAGUCCGGGGCCCGGGGCACCAAUAAUUGUCACUGGGAGGACGUUAUGUCCGGGGCCCGGGAUAUGGAUUCUAUUGUUCGGGAACUGUGAAAGUUCAUUAUCCUAUUUAAAUAAACAUCUGUAUGAAGAUGGUGUUCAGAUGAAUAGACAAUUUAAUGAGAUAGAUUUGAAAGUUUCUAUGGAAGAUAGUUGGGAAUAUGAGAAAAGUAAUUGAUUCUAUUUAAAUCCAAAAAUGCCCGUUCUAUUUUAGCAUAUUGAUCACUUUAAAGUGUUGCAUAUCAUCUGGCUCUCACACGUAUAAAUUUAUGGGUUCGAGGAAACUUUGAAUUAUAGAAAUUGUUUACAGGAGUAUUUACUUUUACUUCAAGGCCUUUCGAUUGUACCUCUCUUCUUAUAUAUAUAUAUACUUGCUGAGCAUUAUUGCUAACUCUUGCCAUUAUUUCUAACCAUUUUCAGAUAGGAAUUGGGAUGGUCACCUGUAUGAGCUGCGCGUAAGAGUAAUGCUAGGCGAGAGUGUCAGGGGUUUAAGUUUCAGCUUGAUGUUCAGGUCGUGCAUCGAGGGAGAUGUCCAGGAGAAUAAUUCUGGUUAGAAUUGCUCAACUUUAGUUGAGUUAUAUAGUAGAUUAAUUUAAUUUGUUUCCAGCUAUUCUUCUCAUUGAAGUCUACCUGGUAAUGUAGUUUAAGCUGUAAUAAGAUUUGAUAGCAGAUUCUGAUUUCAAUGCUGUAACCUGUUUGCGAUCC